rnacentral:rRNA from 1 species
AGGGAAUUUUCCACAAUGGACGAAAGUCUGAUGGAGCAACGCCGCGUGAACGAUGAAGGCUCUCGGGUCGUAAAGUUCUGUUGUUAGGGACGAACAAGUGCCGUUCGAACAGGGCGGCACCUUGACGGUACCUAACGAGAAAGCCACGGCUAACUACGUGCCAGCAGCCGCGGUAAUACGUAGGUGGCAAGCGUUGUCCGGAAUUAUUGGGCGUAAAGCGCGCGCAGGCGGUUAUGUAAGUCUGAUGUUAAAGCCCGGGGCUCAACCUCGGUCCGCAUUGGAAACUGCGUAACUUGAGUGCAGAAGAGGAAAGUGGUAUUCCACGUGUAGCGGUGAAAUGCGUAGAGAUGUGGAGGAACACCAGUGGCGAAGGCGACUUUCUGGUCUGUAACUGACGCUGAGGCGCGAAAGCGUGGGGAGCAAAC